rnacentral:rRNA from 1 species
GGGAUAACGCUGGCGGUAUGCCUAACAGUUCAAAGUCGAACGAACACGUUUACCCCUUAGCUUACGGACGGGUGAGAUAAUACGUGAGAAUCUACUUUAGAAGGGAAUAACAAUUGGAAACGAUUGCUAAUGCCCUAUAUGCUUAGCAGUGAAACAGAUUUAUCUGCCUGAAGAUGAGCUCGCGCCUGAUUAGCUAGUUGGUAGAGUAAAAGCCUACCAAGGCAACGAUCAGUAGCUGGUUUGAGAGGACGAUCAGCCACACUGGGACUGAGACACGGCCCAGACUUCUACGGAAGGCAGCAGUGGGGAAUUUUCCGCAAUGAGCGAAAGCUUGACGGAGCAAUACCGCGUGAGGGAAGAAUGCCUGUGGGUUGUAAACCUCUUUUAUUAGGGAAGAACAUAUGACGGUACCUAAAGAAUAAGCAUCGGCUAACUCCGAUGCCAGACAGCCGCGGUAAUACGGGGGAUGCCACGCGUUAUCCGCGAACUUACUGGGCUGUAAAAGCGUCUGCAGGUGGCCUUAAAAAGUCUGAUGUAUAAAAUAUUAGAGCAUCAACUUCUGAGUAAGCAGUGGAAAACUGUUACGCCUCGACGUAUUGGUAUGGGUAAAACGGGAACUCCCCACGUGUAGCAGGUGAAAUCGCGUACGAUAAUUGGGGAAGAACAACCCAGCUCAGCCGCAAGACGCUUUCACUAAAACCAUUCACUUGGAACACUCCAGAAGACGAAACAGCUAGGGACACA